AGGACGAACGCUGGCGGCGCGCUUAACACAUGCAAGUCGAGCGAGAACCUGGCUUCGGCCAGGGGAAAGCGGCGAACGGGUGAGUAACACGUGGGCAACCCACCCUUGGUAUCCGGAUAGCCCGGGGAAACCCGGAUUAAUACGGAAUGGCCCAACAGCUCUUCGGGGCGGUUGGAAAAGGUAGCUUCGGCCUCCGACCAAGGACGGGCCCGCGGUGGAUUAGCUUGUUGGUGAGGUAACGGCUCACCAAGGCGACGAUCCAUAGCUGGUCUGAGAGGACGAUCAGCCACACUGGGACUGAGACACGGCCCAGACUCCUACGGGAGGCAGCAGUGGGAAUCUUGCGCAAUGGGCGAAAGCCUGACGCAGCGACGCCGCGUGGGGGAAGAAGGCUUUCGGGUUGUAAACCCCUUUCAGGAGAGACGAAGCCACUCAGGUUAAUAGCCGAGAGGGUGACGGUACCUCCGAGAAGAAGCCCCGGCUAACUACGUGCCAGCAGCCGC
rnacentral:rRNA from 1 species